UCGAUCAUGGUGCUGUCUGCCGGGUGUGCAAAGCGGCAGUCUGUCUCUCCCCGGGCACAGUUUCCUCGCUGGAACUCCCUGCAUACCUGAGAUAAGGGGAAAGAGCAGAGUGCUGCAGAAGAAAGCCUGGUGGCCACCGCGCCAACGGAGGGGAAAGAGCCCAGAGAAUUGUGAAGUAGCCUCUUCUGGGCUCCGGUACCAUAGCCAGGAAACGUAAGCAUUGGUUUGUUUCCUGGUCACCAGUGAUGUUGCUGAAGGGACAGAGAUAAGAAGCUCAAGUCUGUACAAGGCAGUCAUUUCUGAGUAUUCCACUGACCUGUGGCCAAGCCAGGUUGACAGAAAUGAAAACAUCAGAAAUCCUUUCUUGCCUGAACCGUAUACACAUAGAGAAGAACUGAAAAUACUCAUUUCCGCCCAAAUUACCUAUCACUCCAAGCUACUGAGUGCUCUAACCCAAAGGCAGUAAGACGUACAGAACAUAGACUGGCUAUCUAUGCAUAUGCCUACAGGUAUCUACAAGGCACAUGAGUAAAAACCCCCUUGGUUAUAGCUAAUAUUCAAGUUGGCCAAAUCCAUGCUUGGAAGCAUGGGGAGUGUACUCAGGAUUUAUUUUGUUCAGAUGUACCAACAUGUUUCAGUUUUUCAUCACUAGCAUGUGCAUCCUCAACACUUAGGCAGUUUUCAUGUGGACCUACUAUGUGCUGCUCUCUGCCCUACUAUGCGUCAAUAUAUCCUUUCAUUCUUGAAAGGCGGGACGGGAGAGCUUGCGUUUUUUUCAAAUGAUCAUUUUCACACAUGACUGCUAAAACUCAGUUUUGUUUCCUGGUCACAUAAUCAGAAAAGCUGCGAGAAAGCAUGCCUGGUCCCUAGUUAAAUGUGUUUUCCAUCACAACUGACCUGGCUAAGAAUAAUCAUACCAUGGCUGAUAGGAUAAUUAUUUUUAAGAGUUUCAUCUAAUCAUUAUCUAAAUAAGAUUGCCUUUCAGAGAAGAUAUUAUGCACACUUAGACAACAAACCUUGUUUCACUUUUAUUUAUUUAAACACAGUCUCAAUAGACAGUCCAGAAUAUACUGUAACUAGUGACACAGCUCAUGCUGGCACCAAACUCAGCAGCCCUCCUGCCUCAGCCUGUGGAGUGCUGGGAUUCUGGAUGUGUGUCACCACACAGACCCUGCAUUUUUUUUAAACCUGUGAAGAACCAUUGUUAACAUGGUUUCCAAAGAUUUGG
rnacentral:lncRNA from 1 species